rnacentral:rRNA from 1 species
UACGUAGGCAGCGAGCGUUGUUCGGAGUUACUGGGCGUAAAGAGUGCGUAGGCGGUUUGUCGCGUCGUUCGUGAAAACUUGGGGCUUAACUCCAAGCGUGCGGGCGAUACGGGCAUCACUGGAGUUCGGCAGGGGAGACUGGAAUUCCUGGUGUAGCGGUGAAAUGCGCAGAUAUCAGGAGGAACACCGGUGGCGAAGGCGGGUCUCUGGGCCGUAACUGACGCUGAGGAGCGAAAGCGUGGGGGAGCGAACAGG